rnacentral:rRNA from 1 species
GAUGAACGCUGGCGGCGUGCCUAAUACAUGCAAGUCGAGCGAACGGACGAGAAGCUUGCUUCUCUGAUGUUAGCGGCGGACGGGUGAGUAACACGUGGAUAACCUACCUAUCAGACUGGGAUAACUUCGGGAAACCGGAGCUAAUACCGGAUGAUAUUUUGAACCGCAUGGUUCAAAAGUGAAAGACGGUCUUGCUGUCACGUAUCGAUGGAUCCGCGCUGCAUUAGCUAGUUGGUAAGGUAACGGCUUACCAAGGCAACGAUGCAUAGCCGACCUGAGAGGGUGAUCGGCCACACUGGAACUGAGACACGGUCCAGACUCCUACGGGAGGCAGCAGUAGGGAAUCUUCCGCAAUGGGCGAAAGCCUGACGGAGCAGCGCCGCGUGAGUGAUGAAGGUCUUCGGAUCGUAAAACUCUGUUAUUAGGGAAGAACAUAUGUGUAAUUAACUGUGCACAUCUUGACGGUACCUAAUCAGAAAGCCCCGGCUAACUACGUG